rnacentral:rRNA from 1 species
UACGUAGGGUGCAAGCGUUGUCCGGAAUUACUGGGCGUAAAGAGCUCGUAGGUGGUUUGUCACGUCGUCUGUGAAAUUCCACAGCUUAACUGUGGGCGUGCAGGCGAUACGGGCUGACUUGAGUACUGUAGGGGUAACUGGAAUUCCUGGUGUAGCGGUGAAAUGCGCAGAUAUCAGGAGGAACACCGAUGGCGAAGGCAGGUUACUGGGCAGUCACUGACGCUGAGGAGCGAAAGCAUGGGU